rnacentral:rRNA from 1 species
CAAUAGCGUAUAUUUAAGUUGCUGCAGUUAAAAAGCUCGUAGUUGGAUUUCGGGUGGGAGUGGCCGGUCCGCCGUUUCGGUGUGCACUUGCUACGCCCACCUUGCUGCCGGGGACGUGCUCUUGAGUUCACGCUCGGGACACGGAGUCGGCGAGGUUACUUUGAGUAAAUUAGAGUGUUCAAAGCAGGCCUACGCUCUGAAUACAUUAGCAUGGAAUAACACGAUAGGACUCUGGCCUAUCUUGUUGGUCUGUAGGACCGGAGUAAUGAUUAAGAGGGACAGUCGGGGGCAUUCGUAUUUCAUUGUCAGAGGUGAAAUUCUUGGAUUUAUGAAAGACGAACUACUGCGAAAGCAUUUGCCAAGGAUGUUUUCAUUAA